rnacentral:rRNA from 1 species
CCUACGGGAGGCAGCAGUGAGGAAUAUUGGUCAAUGGACGAGAGUCUGAACCAGCCAAGUAGCGUGAAGGAUGACUGCCCUAUGGGUUGUAAACUUCUUUUAUAAAGGAAUAAAACGAGGCACGUGUGCCUUUUUGCAUGUACUUUAUGAAUAAGGAUCGGCUAACUCCGUGCCAGCAGCCGCGGUAAUACGGAGGAUCCGAGCGUUAUCCGGAUUUAUUGGGUUUAAAGGGAGCGUAGAUGGGUUGUUAAGUCAGUUGUGAAAGUUUGCGGCUUAACCGUAAAAUUGCAAUUGUUACUGGCAGUCUAGAGUACAGUUGAGGUAGGCGGAAUUCGUGGUGUAGCGGUGAAAUGCUUAGAUAUCACGAAGAACCCCGAUUGCGAAGGCAGCUUACUAAACUGUGACUGACAUUGAUGCUCGAAAGUGUGGGUAUCAAACAGGAUUAGAUACCCCUGUAGUC